AUGUGAGCUCCAUUGGAGCCUCUCCCCAGCAUCACCAGGGCAAUACAGCGAGGGCCAUGCUUUUGAAGAGGGCGACAGCGAGCAGCGUGGCUCUGCCGCAGCCGCUUGCUGUCACCUACUUCAAAACCAUGCCCCGAGCUGAAAAUCAGGUGGCGGCGCCCAUCUUUCAUACGCACGGCAGGCAGGCAGGCUUGCUCAUCGGCGCCUGCUGCAGCGCGCCGCCGAUUUGACGGCCCGUCUUCUUCGGCCGUCUCCUCCGGACACCCAGCGGCCGGCUCUGAACUGAAGGUGUUUGGAUCCGUUUGCUCUUGCUGUAGGACCUUCGCUUGUUCUGGGAUAUAUAGAUCUAUGGUUCUCAUCUCAUGUUGUAAGUUUGGAAACCUGUCCCUAGCCUGUCGGUAAAUUAUUUCUAGAGCAUCAGUAAGACAUCUGCGAGAUCUUACUCACCCUGUUACAGUAGAGUGUAGAGUCCGAACCAUUUAUCCUUCGGCAGUUUGCGGGAAAAACUACUAGCACUGACUUGGCGGUGGUUCCGGACACUGAAAUUUCGUGAUCUCGUAUGGUGUGCAAUAUUCAUGUUCUCAUUCCUUUCAUAGCUAUAAGCUAACAGUAAAUACUUGGAAAAUUCAAGGAACUUGGAUGGAAGGUUAUCACAGUUUUGUUUUGUCGUUGGUAGUCUGUGAGACUCUGUGUUGUGCUGAUGAUAUUUUUCGGUAUGUACGAUAUGUAUCCUUGCAGUUCUGUACAUUAGAAUUAGAAACAACUUGCCAAAUAUCUGAGUGGAACUUACAUGCUUUGAAAUAGUCAACAUGGAAGGGUAACUAGAGCCACAAUUUUAUGAAAAGUUGUUACUGAGAGCAGCUAUUUAUUUGUUUAUUCUCUUUUUUAUAGUACACGUUAAGGCUCUACAUGGAUGGAGAAGGAAUAUUACAAGUCUCAACCUACUGUUUCAUUUUUGCUAUUUUUUUUUCAUUUCUGUGGCUCUAGGUUCUUUGCAUUCCAUUCUAUCAUAUUAGCACUGAUGGGUACCACUCAGGUAUGUCAUCUACAUUCCAUAUUCCUGGAUGUCUGGAGCUACUUAUUCUCUGGUAGUUACUCUUUAUUUUAAAUGUUCAGGAGAUUAUCAAAAACACAUAUCCAUAAGGCAUGGAAGUCUUAUCACUCAAUUGAGGCACGGAGACUAUGAUUCACCCAGUGUGGUAUAAAGAGCCUCAGAGGAAUACAAAUUCAUGCAGGAAGGUGCACAAAAAUCUCCUACAACAAGAGCAGCAUUAGGUGAUUGGGCAGAUGAUCUUGUGCUGAUCUGUGAAAGCAUGGUGUUUGUUUUUGUAGUAUCACCAAUGGUGCUAAAUUGCUAAUUGCAUAGUCAAGAUGCAUGUGGGAAGCCCAACCAUUCGAUUUAGAGUACAAUUGCUAAUGCAUUGUUUAGGCAUGCAGCUAAUAGGGAUGCUAAACUAGAUAAUGCAGUGUCAUUAGUUUCAAAGGUUAAAAUUGUGUAAUUGAGUUUCAGACAUUUUUGGUGUGCUGAAACCUUAAUGUGUCAUAUGGAGACCGAGUUUCAGACAUGCCUAAUUGUUGGAAUAUUGACAUGUCUAACUAUGAUUUCCAUUCCUAUGUAUCAAGGAUUUGUUUCAAGGGUAAAAAUGCCUACUAGUUUCUGAGCA